GUCCCGGCCCUAACUCGGGGCGGCGGGAGCUAGGGCUUCACAGCUGUGUAGGGAGCCGAGCCGGAUUGGCUGGGGCGAGGCUUAAAGUGCCCUGCGCUGAGCUCGCAGCAGGAGGGGCUCCGUAGAUACUCUGGACCCUGCUCUGCCACCGACUUGCUCUGUGACCUGGAGCAGUUCGCUGGACUUCUGGGGACCCGAUUCCCCGUCCUAGGCCCUAGGAUGACAGAAUUGUCCUUCUAGCCGGGAGUCUGUGAAUGUCAAGCCAGGCGCAGUGCUGCACACCUUUAAACCCAGCAUUCAGGAGGCUGAGGCAGGAGGAUCACCACGAGUUUGAGGAGUGUGAGUCUCGUGAAAAAUCUCCUGAAGUUUCCCAACACUCAGAAAAAAAGGAAGGAGAAUAAAAGGAAAAUUCUAGAAAAGGGGAGGAAUGAAGGGAAAGGAAAUGAGAAGGAAGGAAGGAGAAAGCAACGCUGACCUUAGCCUUACUACUACUGGAUGGUGCUUGAACCUUCAGGCUGGGGGUGUAGCUCAGCGGCAAAGCACUUGCCUAGCAUGUGUGAGCCCCUGGGAUGGAAACCCAGUGUUACAGCGCGUGCGCACAUGCGCACACACACACACACACACACACACACACACACACACAAUUUCAAUUAAAACAAUUUGGAAUGGAUUCAGGAAGAAACAAACAGACCAACAGACUGAGAGAGGAAGUCCAAAAAUAGACCCAAAUGCACAUGGGGAUUUAAUAGUUGGUACAAGUGGCAUCUCAAAAUGGAGAGCUGACUCUUCAUUGCAUGGUGCUGGGACAGCAAGGAGGACAACUGGGGGGAGAAAAAAAAAAAGAAAAUGUUCGUACAGAGCACCAGGAUGAGCUCCAAAGGGACCAGAGAUUUAAGUGCUGGAAAACUCAAAAUAAAAUCAUAAAAGCGCUAGUGGAAAACAUGGGACAAUUUAUAAUCUCAUAGUGGGAAAAGACUCAAAAUAUCAAAAGGCCAUAAAAAAGAUUGAUAAAGUCAACUAUGUAAAAAUCAAAGACAUCUGCAUGGGAUAACUCUAUACAUCAAAUCACAGGGGAAAUCAUCAACCUGAGGAAACUUUGCAACCCAGAUCACAAAGGGUCAUUUCUCUAAUUUGUAAAGAAUUCCUGGAAAUUGAUACAAAGGACCAACAACCUAACAGAAACAUGGGCAUAAACUUUGCACUGAGAAUUCCCAGAGAACAAAUACAAAUGGCUUCAAACAUAUGAAAAGAGGUUCAAACUCGCUCAAAGGAAGCCAAAACCAAGACAUCUCCAGUGCAGUCCUCUUUCUUACCAAUCUGGUUAAAAAUCUGUUUGGUAACUUAUCUUUUUUAUUGGCAGUACUAGAGAUUAACCCAGGGCAUCCAUACAUGCGAGGCAAGUGCCGUACUACUGAGCUACAUCCCUAAUCCUUUUUAUUUUUAAUUUUAUUUUGGGCUAGGUAUGA